UACGAAGGGGGCUAGCGUUGCUCGGAAUGACUGGGCGUAAAGGGCGCGUAGGCGGCUCACAGAGUCGGACGUGAAAUUCCUGGGCUUAACCUGGGGGCUGCGUUCGAUACCUGUGGACUAGAGUGGGGAAGAGGGUCGUGGAAUUCCCAGUGUAGAGGUGAAAUGCGUAGAUAUCCGGAGGAACACCGGUGGCGAAGGCGGCUUCCUGGACUGACACUGACGCUGAGGAGCGAAAGCGUGGGGAGCGAACAGG
rnacentral:rRNA from 1 species